CCUACGGGUGGCAGCAGUGGGGAAUAUUGGACAAUGGGGGGAACCCUGAUCCAGCCAUGCCGCGUGUGUGAAGAAGGCCCUCGGGUUGUAAAGCACUUUCAGUGAGGAAGAACGCCUGGUGGUUAAUACCCAUCAGGAAAGACAUCACUCACAGAAGAAGCACCGGCUAACUCCGUGCCAGCAGCCGCGGUAAUAUGGAGGGUGCGAGCGUUAAUCGGAAUUACUGGGCGUAAAGCGCGCGUAGGUGGCUUGAUAAGCCGGUUGUGAAAGCCCCGGGCUCAACCUGGGAACGGCAUCCGGAACUGUCAAGCUAGAGUGCAGGAGAGGAAGGUAGAAUUCCCGGUGUAGCGGUGAAAUGCGUAGAGAUCGGGAGGAAUACCAGUGGCGAAGGCGGCCUUCUGGACUGACACUGACACUGAGGUGCGAAAGCGUGGGUAGCAAACAGGAUUAGAUACCCUAGUAGUC
rnacentral:rRNA from 1 species